GACGAACGCUGGCGGCGUGCUUAACACAUGCAAGUCGAACGGAAAGGCCCUGCUUUCGUGGGGUGCUCGAGUGGCGAACGGGUGAGUAACACGUGAGUAACCUGCCCUUGACUUUGGGAUAACUUCAGGAAACUGGGGCUAAUACCGGAUAGGAGCUCCUGCUGCAUGGUGGGGGUUGGAAAGUUUCGGCGGUUGGGGAUGGACUCGCGGCUUAUCAGCUUGUUGGUGGGGUAGUGGCUUACCAAGGCGUUGACGGGUAGCCGGCCUGAGAGGGUGACCGGCCACAUUGGGACUGAGAUACGGCCCAGACUCCUACGGGAGGCAGCAGUGGGGAAUAUUGCACAAUGGGCGGAAGCCUGAUGCAGCAACGCCGCGUGCGGGAUGACGGCCUUCGGGUUGUAAACCGCUUUCGCCUGUGACGAAGCGUGAGUGACGGUAAUGGGUAAAGAAGCACCGGCUAACUACGUG
rnacentral:rRNA from 1 species